CAAGUUGACUGGGCAGUCGCCUUCGCAGGCAUCAUUCGGUGCUUCGCGGGGGAGGAAAGUCCGGGCUCCAUCGGACAAGGGUGCCAGGUAACACCUGGGGGGCGCGAGCCUACGGAAAGUGCAACAGAGAGUAGACCGCCAAAACGACUUCUCUUCCUGUGAUCGUCGUUUUGGUAAGGGUGAAAGGGUGCGGUAAGAGCGCACCGCACCGGAUGGCAACAUCUGGUGGCUAGGUAAACCCCACCCGGAGCAAGGCCAAAUAGGGGCUCAAUGGCAUGGUCCGUGUCGAGUCCGGGUAGGCCGCUCGAGGUGCGCAGCGAUGCGCAUCCUAGAUGAAUGACUGUCCUCGACAGAACCCGGCUUAUAGGUCAACUUGGCUU
rnacentral:RNase_P_RNA from 1 species